CGCACAUUGCGCCCUCUGGCAUUCCGGAGGGCAUGCCUGUUCGAGCGUCAUUCUCCACCCUCAAGCAUGGCUUGUCUUUGGGUCCUCACCGCCCUCGGGCGGUGGACCCGAAAGGUAAUGGCGGAUCUUGGGAAGAUCGGAUGCAGCGAGCUCUUUCAGCAUGCGUCCGUGUCGCCCCGGGUCCGUUCUCGACGAGAAAUUUCUGACAGUUGACCUCGAAUCAGGUAGGGAUACCCGCUGAACUUAA
rnacentral:misc_RNA from 1 species